UUUUUCAAAGUCCUUU
rnacentral:sRNA from 1 species